CACCGGCGCCACAAGUGGGAAUCACAUUUAUUUGGCCUAAAGCGUUCGUAGCCGGCUGGGUAAAUCUCUUGUGAAAUCGUUUUGAUAAAACAAACGACGUGCAGGAGACACUGCUCAGCUAGGGACUGGGAGGAGUUGGGAGUAUGCCUAGGGGAGCAGUAAAAUGCUAUAAUCCUUGGUAGACUACCGGUGGCGAAGGCGCCCAACCAGAACAGAUCCGACGGUGAGGGACGAAAGCUAGGGGAGCAAUCCG
rnacentral:rRNA from 1 species